rnacentral:rRNA from 1 species
GACGUAGGUGGCGAACGUUAUCCGGAAUUAUUGGGCGUAAAGGGCGCGUAGGCGGCUUGAUGUGUCAAAGGUGAAAUCCCUCGGCUCAACUGAGGAACUGCCUUUGAAACUGUCUGGCUUGAGGCCGGGAGAGGGUAGCGGAAUUCCCAGUGUAGCGGUGAAAUGCGUAGAUACUGGGAGGAACACCGGUGGCGAAGGCGGCUACCUGGACCGGAACUGACGCUGAGGCGCGAAAGCGUGGGUAGCAAACAGG